rnacentral:lncRNA from 1 species
AUUGGCAUAAGAAACUGCAGUGUUGAAGGAACAUAUUUUGCAACAGUCUGCAAUGCUCUGUGGCAUGUAUCAAAAUUUUCAGAAAGGUUUUCUUCAUCAUCAUCAGAAUCUGAAAUGUCCACAUCAUCUUCUCUGAUAAUUAUUCGAGGAGGAACAAACUGAGAUACAAUCAUGCUCAGGCAUGGCCUAAGAUGGACAGUUUGUGCUGACACCAGAUUGCCAAGAAAACCCAGAUAUUCUUCCACUACCUCUCGGCUUCUUCUCAACCAUGGCAGUUUCUUUAUGUCAGGAUCUGACAGCUGAUGCUUUAACAGCUCAAAGUCAG